rnacentral:rRNA from 1 species
UACGUAGGGGGCUAGCGUUGUCCGGAAUCAUUGGGCGUAAAGAGCGUGUAGGCGGCUCGAUAAGUCCGCUGUGAAAGUCCAGGGCUCAACCCUGGGAUGCCGGUGGAUACUGUCGGGCUCGAGUCCGGAAGAGGCGAGUGGAAUUCCUGGUGUAGCGGUGAAAUGCGCAGAUAUCAGGAGGAACACCGGUGGCGAAGGCGGGUCUCUGGGCCGAUACUGACGCUGAGGAGCGAAAGCGUGGGGAGCGAACAGG